AUCCCUACGCCGCUCAAGGGAAAAAUAUCCCACGCCGUCCUCCCUGCUGAUUUUUCUACCGUGCGCGCGCAUCCUUAUCGAUCGUCAGAUUUUUUUGAGCGCCCGUUUCUUAUCUCCAGCCGGCCGGUGCUCAUUCCCAGGACAUCGUCUUCUCCACGCUUCUCCUCAUCGUACGCAGAUUCUUGGCCGUGGGAGCUCCCCACGCCAUCUCCCAUGGCGCUUGGCCUCCCAGCCCCUCCCCAGCCGCGAGCUCGCCGAGCUCUCCCUCUCCCCAUGGCCACGCCGCGCCCUGCUCCCUCUGUCUUCCCUGGCGCGCGCUGGUCGUUCCUACCAAUUUCCUUGGCCUCGCUCGGUACUUCUCUGGUCGUCCUUACUCCUGCUCUCUGCUCAAGCACGCCGGCCGCCAGAUCUUCACCGCCCUGCUCCAUGGCGCGCCCUCCCGUUUUCUGCUCGCUCGCGCACGGCUCAGAGCCCCCUGGUGGUCGCGCGUCUUCUCCCAGCCAGCCGAGUAGUUCGCCGAGCUCCCUCCCUAGCGGUCCCUGGCUCCAGCUCGGCCGGCCCUGUUCCCCAUGGUCGCCGGCUGCUUGACCCCAGCUCCUUGCCGUCGCACCCCUAUUCCUCCAUGGCCGCGAGCUCCCUCUGCUGUCUGCUUCGCCGCGCGCCAAGCCCCCAGCCGAGGUCUCCUCCCUGCCGAGUCCCAGCCGAACUCCUCCGUACAGCGCCCUGUCGAGGCUUCCCGUUCCUGCGCGCCGUCGCCUUGCUGCUCGCCUUGCGUGCGCGGUCCUCUGUCCCUGCGCGUAGCCGGUUUCUCGGUUCGCCGUGGAGCCUGCGCGCUCGGUUCUGUCCAGUUCAUGUCCCGCUCGGCCGUCCGCGCGACACGUCAUCCAUGGCCGCUGUCCGUCGUCGAGUCCCUACGUGCGCACCAGCUCCCUGUGUCGCGUUCCAUUCACCUAAACCGGAGUUCGCCAGCCGUCCAUACUUGCCGGUGUGCUGCUGCUCUAGUUCGGAUCUCGCCCAAGUCGCUGCCAUGGUUAUCCGGUGUUUGGCCCGCGCCGAUUCGCGUUCGCUCAUAUCGCCAUCAUAGUGUUGUCGCUGGUGAUAGGCUUCGCGUGCGUGUCAAACUCCCGCGUCGAGUCUUUUUCCUGCUCGCCGGUGCGUCCUCUCGGCUCGCUUGGCCUUAAUUCUCAUCGCGUCAUCGAUUCCGCUGGUCAGCGUCGUUCGUCAUCGUGUCGCGUGUGUAGCUCUAUAUACGUCACCCUCCUGUGUCGUCGUUGUUCCGUGCGUCAUCAAGAAAUUCCAAGAAUCGAGUGAAGACGAAGCCAGCAGCGUGAUAUUCACCAAGUGCGCGACCAAAAAGCUCGGACAUCCUGCGCGACUCAAGUUCAAUUCAUCGAAAUUAUUCAAUCGAAGAAAAGAUCUUCAGCAAUUAAUUACCGAAGAAAAGAAGGCUCCUGGAUGACAUCAACCGGAACCCGUAGUCAUGCUUGCGACUAUCGCGUCGAAUUAGUCAGGGUAAGUUGGUUCGUAUUCCCAUUAACUAGGUCUAUAAAUAGAUUAAAUAGAAUUGUUGGUCACAAUAAAUAUUAUUAAUUUAGCAUGCGUAUAUUGUGAUGAUUGAUUUAGAUAGCUCGCUAAAUCAACUAAUUAAGUUACACAGUUUAGAGAGUUAAUAAAAAGCUAAGAAUAAAAAUAGAUUUUCUAGUGUAAUAUGUCAAUUUGAUUAAUGGAUAUAGUCGCUGUCCUGCUGUGAUAUCCAUGGUGCUUAAUGCUUGGUUUUAAGUGUUUCAUGCUUUUUAGCGUAGAUUAUCUAUAUUAUACUCGUUAUACAUGUGCUCAUACAUGUGCAUCAUGCAUCUCAUGAGGUACGAUAAAUAAUCGCGUGAUGCGGAAGAAGAACCAAGCCGACCCCAAGCGUGGGCUAAUCUGCAAGCUGAAGCUGAUGAAUCAACCUGAAGACGGUUAAAUCAAGCAAGUGCUCGGUCGAAGGAUACUCGUCAAGCGGACGUCACCUAACAACACUAACCUAGUGUUACUCAGGUUCUAACUUUGUGCUGUUGUUGAUGGUGUUAAGUGCCGGUGGGCUCGGCCUUCUUAUAAGUCUAAGUACUCCUUCUAUACUUCUUACUGAGGAUGGUCAUUUGAGCUAGCAUAUAUUUCAAACUUAUACUUUUAUAAUCACUCCGAUAAAAUAAUGUAAAAUUUUUGUAACUUGUAAAAUUUGGUAAUAAGAUUUCCGCUGCAAAAAUGUUGUGUGUGUGAUUUGUAUUACUUAAUCCCGCGGUUCUGG
rnacentral:misc_RNA from 1 species